GAUGAACGCUGGCGGCGUGCCUAAUACAUGCCAGUCGAGCGAACAGACGAGGAGCUUGCUCCUCUGACGUUAGCGGCGGACGGGUGAGUAACACGUGGAUAACCUGCCUAUAAGACUGGGAUAACUUCGGGAAACCGGAGCUAAUACCGGAUAAUAUAUUGAACCGCAUGGUUCAAUAGUGAAAGACGGUUUUGCUGUCACUUAUAGAUGGAUCCGCGCCGCAUUAGCUAGUUGGUAAGGUAACGGCUUACCAAGGCAACGAUGCGUAGCCGACCUGAGAGGGUGAUCGGCCACACUGGAACUGAGACACGGUCCAGACUCCUACGGGAGGCAGCAGUAGGGAAUCUUCCGCAAUGGGCGAAAGCCUGACGGAGCAACGCCGCGUGAGUGAUGAAGGUCUUCGGAUCGUAAAACUCUGUUAUUAGGGAAGAACAAAUGUGUAAGUAACUAUGCACGUCUUGACGGUACCUAAUCAGAAAGCCACGGCUAACUACGUG
rnacentral:rRNA from 1 species